rnacentral:rRNA from 1 species
UACGGAGGGUGCGAGCGUUAAUCGGAAUCACUAGGCGUAAAGCGCACGUAGGCGGCCUAUCAAGUCGGAUGUGAAAGCCCUCGGCUCAACCGGGGAACUGCAUUCGAAACUGACAGGCUGGAGUCUCGGAGAGGGUGGCGGAAUUCCCGGUGUAGGAGUGAAAUCCGUAGAUAUCGGGAGGAACACCAGUGGCGAAGGCGGCCACCUGGACGAUGACUGACGCUGAGGUGCGAAAGCGUGGGUAGCAAACAGG